rnacentral:rRNA from 1 species
UACGUAGGGUGCGAGCGUUGUUCGGAUUUAUUGGGCGUAAAGCGCACGUAGGUGGUGAUUUAAGUCUUGUGUGAAAGCCUGCGGCUCAACCGCAGGAUGCCAUGGGAUACUGAAUCGCUUGAGACAGGUAGAGGCUAGCGGAAUUCCGGGUGUAGCGGUGGAAUGCGUAGAGAUCCGGAAGAACACCAGAGGCGAAGGCGGCUAGCUGGGCCUGUUCUGACACUGAGGUGCGAAAGCGUGGGGAGCAGACAGG